rnacentral:rRNA from 1 species
AAUCUUGCGCAAUGGGGGAAACCCUGACGCAGCAACGCCGCGUGAGUGAGGAAGGUCUUCGGAUCGUAAAGCUCUGUCGGAUGGAAAGAACCGCAUAGGGGUAAAUAGCUCCUAUGUCUGACGGUACCAUCAAAGGAAGCACCGGCUAACUCCGUGCCAGCAGCCGCGGUAAUACGGGGGGUGCAAGCGUUGUUCGGAAUUAUUGGGCGUAAAGAGCGUGUAGGCGGCCGGAUGUGUCAGAUGUGAAAGCCCUGGGCUUAACCCAGGAAGUGCAUUUGAAACUGUCCGGCUCGAGUAGGGGAGAGGGAAGUGGAAUUCCUGGUGUAGAGGUGAAAUUCGUAGAUAUCAGGAGGAACACCGGUGGCGAAGGCGACUUCCUGGCCCUAUACUGACGCUGAGACGCGAGAGCGUGGGUAGCAAACAGGAUUAGA